ACGGGUGCGUAACACGUAUGCAACCUACCUUGUACUGGAGGAUAGCUCGGGGAAACUCGAAUUAACCCUCCAUAAUAUAAUUGGAUGGCAUCAUUUGAUUAUUAAAAUUCCGGUGGUACAAGAUGGGCAUGCGUCUGAUUAGUUAGUUGGCGGGGUAACGGCCCACCAAGACGAUGAUCAGUAGGGGAACUGAGAGGUUGAUCCCCCACACUGGCACUGAGAUACGGGCCAGACUCCUACGGGAGGCAGCAGUAGGGAAUAUUGGUCAAUGGGUGCAAGCCUGAACCAGCCAUGCCGCGUGCAGGAAGAAGGCCUUCUGGGUUGUAAACUGCUUUUGCCAGGGGAUAAAAUGACCAUGCGUGGUUAAUUGAAGGUACCUGGUGAAUAAGCCACGGCUAACUACGUGCCAGCAGCCGCGGUAAUACGUAGGUGGCAAGCGUUGUCCGGAUUUAUUGGGUUUAAAGGGUGCGUAGGCGGCCCUGUAAGUCAGUGCUGAAAUCCCCCGGCUUAACCGGGGUGGUGGCAUUGAUACUGCAGGGCUUGAGUACAGAUGAGGUAGGCGGAAUUGACGGUGUAGCGGUGAA
rnacentral:rRNA from 1 species